GCGCGCAAAUUACCCAAUCCUGACACGGGGAGGUAGUGACAAUAAAUAACAAUACCGGGCGCGUUAGUGUCUGGUAAUUGGAAUGAGUACAAUCUAAAUCCCUUAACGAGGAUCCAUUGGAGGACAAGUCUGGUGCCAG
rnacentral:rRNA from 1 species